GCAGUAGUACAGCGGUAGUACGCUACUGGCUGGCAUCUCGGCGCGCGGAGUUGUCUGCUUGUGGAGGGGGAGGUUCAAAUCCUCCAUACGUUGCA
rnacentral:tRNA from 1 species